AGUGAACGCUGGCGGUAGGCCUAACACAUGCAAGUCGAACGGCAGCACAGUAAGAGCUUGCUCUUACGGGUGGCGAGUGGCGGACGGGUGAGGAAUACAUCGGCAUCUACUUUUUCGUGGGGGAUAACGUAGGGAAACUUACGCUAAUACCGCAUACGACCUACGGGUGAAAGCAGGGGAUCUUCGGACCUUGCGCGAUUGAAUGAGCCGAUGUCGGAUUAGCUAGUUGGCGGGGUAAAGGCCCACCAAGGCGACGAUCCGUAGCUGGUCUGAGAGGAUGAUCAGCCACACUGGAACUGAGACACGGUCCAGACUCCUACGGGAGGCAGCAGUGGGGAAUAUUGGACAAUGGGCGCAAGCCUGAUCCAGCAAUACCGCGUGGGUGAAGAAGGCCUUCGGGUUGUAAAGCCCUUUUGUUGGGAAAGAAAAAAAGCAGGUUAAUACCCCGCUGUUCUGACGGUACCCAAAGAAUAAGCACCGGCUAACUUCGUG
rnacentral:rRNA from 1 species